CCCUUUUCCCCUCAGAACAGCCUCAAUUCGUCGGAACAUGGACUCUACAAGGUGUCGAAAGCUUUCCACAUGAAUGCUGCCCAAUGCUUCCCACAGUUUAAUCAAGUUGGCUGGAUGUCCUUUGGGUGCUGGAUCAUUCUUGAUACACACAGCAAACUGUUGAGCGUGAAAAACCCAGCAGUGUUGCAGUUCUUGACACAAACCGAUACGCCUGGCACCUACUACCAUAACCUGUUCAAAGGCACUUCAAUAUUUUGUCUUGCCCAUUCACCCUCUGAAUGGCACACAUACACAAUCCGUCUCAAUUGUCUUAAGGCUUAAAAAUCCUUUAACCUGUCUCCUCCCCAUUCAUCUACACUAAUUGAAGUGGAUUAAACAAGUGACAUCAAUAAGUUAUCAUAGUUUUCACCUGAAUUUAUCUGGUCAGUUUAUGUCAUGGAAAGAGUAGGUGUUCCUAAUGUUUUGUAAACUCAGUGUAUACCCAUGUUAUAGAUACACAGCACAUGAGUGGGCCUGACAAAGGUAUAGUCAGGUCAGAGUAGCCUGGUUUCCAUUUCUAAUGGAUAAUUAAGGCUGUAACGGUCAUGGAAUUUUGGAUGAUGAUUAUUGGUCAGCCAAAAUAACCGUGGCCAUCGUAAUAACCGUUAGAAUAGCAAAAUGACAAUAAAAACAAUAAUAGUGUAUAGCCCAUACAUAAACACAUAAACACACGCAUACACACACCCACUCAGGAGGAAAAAACACUAUGGAAUAGGAAGGAAGAAAAGGAGGAGGAAUAGAGAGUGAUGAUUGGAAGGAAGAAGAGGAGGAGGUAUAGAGAGAGUGAUGAUUGGAAGGAAGAAGAGGAGGAGGUAUAGAGAGAGUGAUGGAUUUGAAGGAAGAAGAGGGAGAGGUAUAGAGAGAGUGAUGAUUGGAGGGAAGGAGAGGGAGAGGUAUAGAGAGAGUGAUGAUUGGAUGUGAGUAAGAGAAAGGAAGUAAAGGUAAAGGAACAAGAGAGGAAAAUAUAAAACUUCACAUCCUAUCAGUCAGCAUGCAGAGAGAGGGAGAGGGGGAGUAAGAGAGGGAGCGAGAGUGGAAAAUAGUAGCAUUACAUUUUGUGGUAAAAUCCCCAAAAUGUGUGUGUGUGAGUGCGUGCGUGCGUGGAUGUGUGUGUGCGUGUGUGUGAUCUGCAGUGGUAUCUAGGUCUUAGCUCAUACAGCUCUUUCUCAUCUUUCUCCCGCUCCAUUUUAAAUGAUUUAGACACAGACAGGCAGCUCCCCCCCUCUCUCUCGCUCUUUCUAGCUCUCUCUUUUUUCUCUCU
rnacentral:lncRNA from 1 species